UACGGGGGGGGCAAGCGUUGUUCGGAAUUACUGGGCGUAAAGGGCUCGUAGGCGGCCAACUAAGUCAGACGUGAAAUCCCUCGGCUUAACCGGGGAACUGCGUCUGAUACUGGAUGGCUUGAGAUUGGGAGAGGGAUGCGGAAUUCCAGGUGUAGCGGUGAAAUUCGUAGAUAUUCGGAAGAACACCAGUGGCGAAGGCGACACACUGGCCCAUUACUGACGCUGAGGCUCGAAAGCGUGGGGAGCAAACAGG
rnacentral:rRNA from 1 species